UGGGGAAUAUUGCACAAUGGGCGAAAGCCUGAUGCAGCAACGCCGCGUGCGGGAUGACGGCCUUCGGGUUGUAAACCGCUUUCAGCAGGGACGAAGGUUUUCUGACGGUACCUGCAGAAGAAGCACCGGCUAACUACGUGCCAGCAGCCGCGGUGAUACGUAGGGUGCGAGCGUUGUCCGGAAUUAUUGGGCGUAAAGAGCUUGUAGGCGGUCCGUUGCGUCGGAAGUGAAAACUCAGGGCUUAACCCUGAGCCUGCUUUCGAUACGGGCGGACUUGAGGGAUGUAGGGGAGAACGGAAUUCCUGGUGGAGCGGUGGAAUGCGCAGAUAUCAGGAGGAACACCAGUGGCGAAGGCGGUUCUCUGGACAUUUCCUGACGCUGAGAAGCGAAAGCGUGGGGAGCAAACAGGCUUAGAUACCCUGGUAGUCCACGCCGUAAACGGUGGGCACUAGGUGUGGGACCCAUUCCACGGGUUCCGUGCCGUAGCUAACGCAUUAAGUGCCCGCCUGGGG
rnacentral:rRNA from 1 species